UGAGCUGCAGGCACUCAGCAUCAUGUUUACAAACUAUUUUUCUCAUUCUUAGCAGAUAUGUCCUUUUUUUCCUUAUUUGCUGGAACCAUCUCGCUGUGCAGUGAGAGAAGGGCUCUGGAACCAUCUGCGACUAAACCUUGCCCUUCCCCAAAGUAGGAGAGCAGGAUUUUCCCUUCCUUCAGAGAUCUGGACUUCCACGUUAAAAAAAAAAAAAAUCUGGGAUCUACUUUAACAGAAGAGUAGGAAGAGUCACACCAGUCUCUUGACUCACAGCCCUCUGGCAUCAUCAUUGUAAUAACUGAGAUGGUUUCCUGGUUUAGAAGAAAUGUGCAAAGGCAAAAAUCCAAGCUGAAGCUGCUCUGCAAGUGACAGCUGCUUGUGACUCUGCACUUCUCCAAUCUAGUUACUCUGUCCUUAACAACUACAGAGAAUGGCAGAAAUGUUAUCUGGGAGAAGAUGCCAGGCGUAGCCUUGGACGCAGGCAGCCCGUUUUCCACAAUCCUCCCUCUUCAGGGCUCCAGGCCCCAGAUUUCCUUUUUGUUUUUUCUCUAUGUGAGCUGCUCCCCAUUCCCCUUCACUGUAACUUACUCCCAUAGACUUCCUUCUGGGAAAGGAGCAUCUGUCUUCACACUUACAUGGCAGCCAGAGGGAAAGCUGUCAGGAUUGCAUCUGUUGAACUGCC